rnacentral:rRNA from 1 species
GUGAGGAAUUUUGCGCAAUGGGGGCAACCCUGACGCAGCGACGCCGCGUGGAGGACGAAGUCUUUCGGGAUGUAAACUCCUGUCAGUGGGGACGAUAAUGACGGUACCCACAGAGGAAGCACCGGCUAACUCCGUGCCAGCAGCCGCGGUAAGACGGAGGGCGCCAGCGUUGUUCGGAAUUACUGGGCGUAAAGCGUAUGUAGGCGGCAAGUUAAGUUCAAUGUUAAAGCCCACGGCUCAACCGAGGAGAUGCAUUGAAUACUGGGUAGCUAGAGGGUGUUAUAGGAAGACGGAAUUCCCAGUGUAGCGGUGAAAUGCUUAGAUAUUGGGAGGAACAUCGGUAGCGAAAGCGGUCUUCUGGGACAUACCUGACGCUGAGGUACGAAAGCGUGGGGAGCAAACGGGAUUAGAUACCCUGGUAGUCC